AAACCGUUGAAAGGGAAGCGAAUGGAGUUAGCAAUUCGCCCCGCCAGAUUCAGUCGCUCGCGCAUCGCGACGGUCGCGCUCUCGAUCCGCAUGGACGAGGCGCGCUCGGACGCGGUGCGCGGACGGCGCACUUCUGGCGAGCGAGCGUCAGCGUCGGUUGUCGACGGGCGAUAAGGUCGCAAGGAAGGUGGACCGGCCUCGCGGCUGGUUGUUAAGACUUGCGCUCGCAUAGCUCGUCGGCGACCGUGGUCUGCGGCGCGUGCUCGGGUGGCGACCCGACCGAUCGGUCCGGCAUGUCGACCGUGGCGGACGGCACGCCUGUGCGCUCGAACCGCUGCCUGUCUAUCGUGACGGUGUUCGCACACUACGCGCCUAGGAUGCUGACGACUCUAUGGCUCCCUCCUACCCGCCUUGAACCACGAACCAAAGAUGCUAACAUGUGUCCGAGUCUCCGGGUGAUCUAAACCCGAGGGAGCAAUGAAAGUACAGGCAGUGCUCAGACGGUUGAGGUGAGAAGCGGUGUUCACAUUCGUCACCGCAUCAUCUACCGACCUUGUCUGCUCUCAAAGAGGUUUGAGUAAGA
rnacentral:rRNA from 1 species